GUGUGUGUGUGUGUGUGUAUCUCUGUAGUUAAGUGUGUGUGUGUGUGUGUACACACACACACACACAUAUAUAUAUAUAUAUACACACACACACACACACACACACUUAACUACAGAGAUACACACACAAC